CAAUAUUUUAUCUUUGCAAUAAAUUAGGAAUCUGAGGAUCAUGGUUUGGACUUUGAAGAAACUGUAGCCACUAUUUUGCUCAAAUGGAAGAGGUUUUGAUGUAGGGGAUAUAAAGACUUAAAUAGGAGAAUGCGGUCAAGAUGGCUUUGAUAUAUGAAUCUUUUGGAACAAACUUGUACUUUUGUAUUGAUCAUAUUUUGAUGGUUAUGAAUUGAUCAUAUUUUGAUGGAUUGAAGUUAUCUUGUAACUACUUAUUUUUGAAUGAUGGGCUUAAAACAUAUGAAUGCUUCAUUAUUUUCAUUUUGAUGAUA